GAUGAAGAACGUAGCGAAAUGGGAUAAGUAAUGUGAAUUGCAGAAUUCAGUGAAUCAUCGAAUCUUUGAACGCACAUUGCGCCCGCCAGUAUUCUGGCGGGCAUGCCUGUUCGAGCGUCAUUUCAACCAUCAAGCCCCAGGCUUGUGUUGGGGACCUGCGGCUGCCGCAGGCCCUGAAAACCAGUGGCGGGCUCGCUAGUCACACCGAGCGUAGUAGCAUACACAUCGCUCAGGGCGUGCUGCGGGUUCCGGCCGUUAAACCCCUUUUUUACCCAAGGUUGACCUCGGAUCAGGUAGGAAGACCCGCUGAACUUAAGCAUAUCAAUAAGCGGAGGA
rnacentral:misc_RNA from 1 species